rnacentral:rRNA from 1 species
AGAGUUUGAUCCUGGCUCAGAUUGAACGCUGGCGGCAGGCCUAACACAUGCAAGUCGAGCGGACGAGAGGAGCUUGCUCCUUGAUUUAGCGGCGGACGGGUGAGUAAUGCCUAGGAAUCUGCCUGGUAGUGGGGGAUAACGUCCGGAAACGGGCGCUAAUACCGCAUACGUCCUACGGGAGAAAGCAGGGGACCUUCGGGCCUUGCGCUAUCAGAUGAGCCUAGGUCGGAUUAGCUAGUUGGUGAGGUAAUGGCUCACCAAGGCGACGAUCCGUAACUGGUCUGAGAGGAUGAUCAGUCACACUGGAACUGAGACACGGUCCAGACUCCUACGGGAGGCAGCAGUGGGGAAUAUUGGACAAUGGGCGAAAGCCUGAUCCAGCCAUGCCGCGUGUGUGAAGAAGGUCUUCGGAUUGUAAAGCACUUUAAGUUGGGAGGAAGGGCAUUAACCUAAUACGUUAGUGUUUUGACGUUACCGACAGAAUAAGCACCGGCUAACUUCGUGCCAGCAGCCGCGGUAAUACGAAGGGUGCAAGCGUUAAUCGGAAUUACUGGGCGUAAAGCGCGCGUAGGUGGUUCGUUAAGUUGGAUGUGAAAGCCCCGGGCUCAACCUGGGAACUGCAUCCAAAACUGGCGAGCUAGAGUACGGUAGAGGGUGGUGGAAUUUCCUGUGUAGCGGUGAAAUGCGUAGA